rnacentral:lncRNA from 1 species
AGAGAGGAAGAAAAAUUAAUUCAAGUCAAGGAAGGAAAAGGAAUCCAACAAGAAGAAGGAUUGACAAGUCAAAAUUUCCUAAUCCUAAUCUACAAAGGUUUCAGCCAUAAUUAAGGUUCCAAGUCAAUUUGGGACACUUAAAUCUCAGUCCAAGGGGGAGCCGCACCUUACUCUUCAUUCCUCUUUCUUGCCGCACAAGGUUGUUGAUUUCCUUUCAAUUUAAGACACAAUUGCAAGGAAGUAAUCUACUUACCCUUUUUCCUUCCCUUGUCGCACCUCCCUUACCUUUUCCUUAGGAUUCUGACUUUAAUUCCUAUUUCCCUUUAAGUUUUGGUUUAAUUUAUGUUACCUAAAUUAUUUCCUAGCCUUAAAUACCCUAAAGUCUUUAAAUAAACACCCUAGCCGCAUUCUCGAGGAUUCAUUCACCAUUCUACAUAUCCAUUCACUCCCAUACACAAUUCCAGCCAUUCUCUUUUUCCUUGCCGCAGCCCCAUUCAACCUUAACACAUCUCUGAUCCCUUCAUUCAGCCAUAAACAUCCAUAGUCACUUGUGCCGCAGCAAGGUAGGGAAGAAGAAGGGCUUUUGACGUUUCAAGCUUGAAGAUUGGAGCGUUUUAGGUGUACUUCGUUCUUGUUUUCAAUGUCUACUUUAUUAUUCUCUGAUUUUGCUGUAACUAUGAGCUGCUAAACCCCUACUUAGCUAGAGGGAAGUUUGAAGCCAUGAACAUCCUUGAGAUAUGAAUUGAUUUCUUCCAAUUGUGAUUUGAUAAGUUGUGAAUGCAAUUCAAUUAACUGUUUUCUUCAAAACUGAUUCUUGUAUGUUGAUUAAGGGUGCAUACUUAGUUUUCAUGCAUGAAUUUGAUGCUAGAAUAUAAAUGAGUUUCACCAAAUCGUUACAAAUUUAUAUUCAUGAGUAGUGAAGGUUACUAGUCACAAUCGCGUUAAUUGAAUUCUUGGCAAACGUAUCAUGCAUUCAUAGUUACAAAUGUCUCGUCAACACUUAUGAUUUCCAUAGAACGUAAUGAUCUCUGAUUGUAUCUCUAUUAUGCAUUCAUGUAGGGGACCUUUGGAGAAUGAUUUGGGUUGUCGCAUGCAUUCAUCCAAUUCAAUGAGUAAAGGAAAAUCUGAGGGUUAAUUAGUGCAUCAUGGUUAAUGUUAUAUGUUAUAUAUACACUCAAAUGGUACUAUACCAUUUCCUUGAGUAUAUGUUAUAUAUACACUCAAUGUAAUCAUAAGGAUUUUCAUUCUUAUUUCUUUCGAAUUAAGAGGUGUAACUCUAUGACAUAGUCAUAAAGUUCAAACCAUUCAACUGAGAUGGUUUAUAAAUCCUUCUCAACUACCUUCGAGCUUGUGGUGUAGGAACUAGGUUGUUAUAUUUGUUGAUUAUUAUCUUGUCUCUCAAAGAACCCAUUCUUUGAAAUCUAUCUCCCGUUCAUUUGCUCUAUGUUAGGCAAAUCCUAGUGUAGGAUUACAAUACCUAACAAACAACAUUUGUUAGUUGGUUUGUAGAAGUGAUAUCCAAAGGUUAAUGUAAGGAUAUCACACAAGAUUGUUCUCAAACAAAUAUUGCUUAUUAGCACACAACCUCAAAUCUUAACACAUUUAAGACUUGUCUUUCUUUGCAAUUACGUCCUGUGGAGACAUGAAAAUUAUGGAAGAUCUUCUAAUUGACAAGCAUAUUGUCUUAGAAGUAUAUAUCCUAUAUAUGGGUAAUUGAUAACAUUCAAUGAACUAUAUCUUAUUCGAGUUCGUUCUUCUCCCAAUGGAGAAAUCUAUUAUCUUAUGAUGCUUCUUUCCUUGAUAUCUUUCAAGGAAACUCAUCUAAAGUAUCAGUUUUCCUUGGAUCAAAUUUAAGGAGGUAAAUACUUUAGACAUUUUACUCAUCAACUUACAUUCUUGAAUUCUAUGAAACCUUUUGCAAAGUAUUUGGGCUUGUGUUUAUUCAAAAUAAACGAUAGUCCAACCGAAAGCGAUCUUCAGUGAAUGUCAUAUAACAUGAGUAAUAUUAUGUUGUGGACAAGUGUCACUAACAUCUAAGUGAAUUAACCUCAACAACUUUGUGAUUUUUAUUCUUUCCAAAAGAAUAAAGAUUUGAACAUUUCGCCCCUAUACAAUUUUAACAAGAAGGCAUUGGAUCUGGAUCAAACGAUCCAAAGCAUCCAUCUAGGACCAAUUUGUAAUUUAUGUUUUAGAGGUGUCCCAACUCAGUGGGAUUAGUCACUACCUUGCAACCCUUUGGGUUUUAAGCAUCAUUAUAGUCUAAACAAUUAACAAUACCACAUCAUUUUUACUAUAGAGACAAUCAAUUAGAUUACAAUAAUCCAAUCAUUCAAUAAUAAAGAACAAUGUUUUGUCAAACAAAACACUCAUCCAUCUCUUAUAAUGACGGAAUUAAGUUCCUUUAUUCAAAUUGAAAUGUAAAGACAAUCUUGUUUUCCAUUUUCUUUGGUAGUUCAUAUGAGGAAGUAAGUACUAUCUGCUUUCACAGAGAUCUAUAUUUGAUUCACGUUCCGAAUGUGAAGUACUUUCUCUUCUCUCAUUAAUCUUCUACUUCUUAUUAGCCACACUUUUACAACGAUUGUAAAACAUAGUUACUAAUACGGAAUCAAACAUUCAAGUAGAAGAACCAACUGUUUUGAACUAUUCAAGAACAUUUUACAACACCUUCGAAAGGUGUGUUCUUCAUACUUGCAAGACAUUUCUUGCAAAUACCCCUUCCAAUGUCCAUCCUUUCAUUAAGAAAGUUUGUUCCCUUGGAGUUAUUUGCCUUCUUCAUUUGACUUCUCCAUUGACUACAAUAGUCAUGGUCCCUAAACUCCUACUAUCUCUCUUGAAAAUUAUUUCAAUUGUGUUAUACACAUCAAACGAUUUGGAGAGUGUGCGGUUAAUGUUCACUAUAUAGUUUACAAUAAACUUAGUGAACCAUUUGGAUAGGGACACAAAGGUGAAGUCCUUGCCUAGUUUCCAUCUCUUGAAGUGGUUUAACACUUCAACGCUCAAUGAUUCAAAAUCAUCAUAAGUCCAUGUUGAUGAACUAUUUUUGUCAAUCAACCAUUAUGUUCUAAACAUAAUCACAAAUUUUCAAGAAUUGUUCAAGGCAACUCUCAUUUCUUCAUACAACAAUUUGUAAAUGAAGAAUCAUGGCACAUAAAGUGUCCAUGCCCUUGUGCUUACUUCUCAAGUUCCUUGUUCAUUUAACAAAGAAACAAGCACUAGGGUUUGCGUUAACUAAGGGUUGUUCAAAGUAGCUCUUAUUUCUUCAUACAACGAUUUGUAAGUGAAAAAUUAUGACACUAAAAGUGUUGUCCUCUUUAUGAUAGACUUAUCUAACAUGUUCUUCCAAUGAUACAUUAUCAAUAGGAAGAUUGUGAGAAUGAGACUACUUAGGUACAUAUACAAUCCACUCAAGACAUUCUAUGGGAUUGUGGUACCAAGUCCCUAAACUAAAGCCUUUGGCUUUUCUUUGUUAACUUUUGGAUAGCGUUUGCAAAUAUAACGGUAAAUAAAUACAUAACGAAUAUAAAUUGAUUGAUUUUAAGCUAUUUGAUCUAGGUCUUUAAAUCAAAUAGCACCACCCACUUUUUUUGGCAAAUUCCAUAUCCCUCAUCGGAAUUCAAGAGUUUUGGAGGAAACACUUAGUAGGGUAUAGGAGACUCACUAUUACUAAGCCCACCUCACAAUGAUAUGAUGUUGGCUAGCAACAAUAAUAAUGAGAGAGUACGCUUACUCAUUUACAUCUCAUGUAAGUACCCAUCUUAUUUGGCCUCUAGAGAAUGAUGCCUCACAAUGAUAUGAUGUUGGCUCCAUUGCACUUAGUUAAGUCAUUCCCACCAUGCAAGUUCGGGUAGAGGUUCAAGAACAACCUCACAAUGAUAUGAUGUUGAUCAUUCUCGUUGCCUACCUUCACAACAUCAUGUAUGCGUAUAGGACUCCUCCUGAGUGUAAGCACGCACUUUGUACUCCCCAUGAUAAGGUGAAGUUGGUGUACGAGUCAUAAAUGAUUGGAGACUACCACGGUGGAAGGACACGAAAAAGUGUUCAAAGCACUAUCAUGCUUGUCAACUUAAUAAUGGUUUGGUUGAGGGUUUUAGGUCUCAUCACAUUUAAGCAUGCUUUUUAAUCUUAUUAAAACAAUUUGGUCCUAUUACAACUAUUGGUCCAUGUGAUUGAUUUAGUAGUAUAUGAUACUCCCACUAUGCUUGUAAAACGGUUUUUAAAGCAAGAAUAUAUGGUACUACUAACAUAAGCUUUGCUUUGCAUUCAUUGAUGGACUAUAUAGUUGCCUUAGGGCCUUAGGAUAACUAUGAACCUUUGAUUCGAUCCAACACGAGCCUAGUGUCGGAUCUCGGUCUAGGAAUGGUUAUUGAUUUUAGUUACGCAUUUAAUCACAUUAAGGCGUGUUUUCUUAUUGGGCAUUGGACCCACUACUCCAAUUUCAUGCAUAUCAAAUAAAACAAGAAAGAGUACUUCAAAGUAAAGAAGAGCUUAUGCUCUUUUACAACAUUUGAUCAAAACAAAUUACUUUAAAGUAAAGAAGAGCUUAUGCUUUUUUACAACAUUUGAUCACAUCAAAUUACAACCAAAAUAUAAUCUACACAUUCACAUGGUUCAAACAAUUUGAGAGACGGCUUUUCACAUAGCUCAAUUAUCGUAGGCUUAGGUUCAUAAUCACCAUUUCUUUAAUUAAUUAACGCUUUAACUAGUUAACUUGAAUGCAACAUUGUCAUUUGGUUUUCGUAUCCAUAGAAUUGAUUUAGAUGGAGCUAAAUGAAAUGAAAAUCCAAUUCUCAUUUAAAGAUACAAAACUAUUUUGUUCUCAACUAAUUUGGGCCAAAAUGCAAUAACCUCAACUUUUGGGCUAUAUCACAAAACACAAACUUUUGAGGUCACUUUGUAAAAACACAAAAGUCCACUACUUCAUGUAAAUACAACUAGAACCCAAAAAUUUCAACAUUUCAUUAAAGGAGCAAAACAAUUUGUCCUUUAGUGAUUUUGGGCCUUUACGUAAAAACGUAAACUUUUGGGUCAAAGUGCAAAUACAUAAAAAUAUCAAAACUUUAUGUAAUUGCAUAAAAGUCCCAAAAUUACCCCCAUUAAAGGGUUGGCCGGUUAUGGUAGCGUGAGUGGUUGGAUUGGUUUUUAUUGAAAAACAAAGUCAUAAAGUUAAGUAUGUUGACAGGUUGGUGAUGGGUUGCUGUUGAAAAAAUAGGUAUGGGUGUGUAAGAGAAUUACCAAUCAUGUACAAAAUUUCAAACACUCUUUCAACAAAUUCAAUCAAUUUUUCAAGAAAAAAACUUGUUGAUUGAAAAGUCAAACCAUCCAUCAUAAAACAAGACUUUAUGUAAACAACCAAAAAUUUUGAAUCAAAAUUUCCAACCUUUUUGUUUUUGCCAAGAACAAUGAAGAACAUCCAUGAAAACCCAUAAGAGCUCCAUGAAUAUUUUUCGCCCAAAGACACCCAAAAAACUCUCAAACUUAAGGGAAAUAACAUAUUACCAUACUAGGGUACUUAGGGGUUCCUAAUGUCACUUUAAAACACUUUUAACAAGAAAAACAUGAACCCAAAAAUCCAACCUUUGGAUUUGGCAGAAUUUCCCUAUAAACAUGGCACCAAAUUUUAGCUCUAAAAUUCAUGCUCAUACGAACUACAUCUACAACAUUUGAGAUGGCAAAUUUCUAACAAAAUUUACAUUCAAAGAAGCAAGAAUAAAGCUUGUAACAAUUACAACAUUCAAAUCAUAAACUAUGAAAAUACAAAACUCAAAAGGUUCACCAACUACUAGACCUAGGCUCUGAUACCACUUGAAAGAAAUAUUAUGAAAACAAGUUCAUUUGAGCAACAUCUAUGCAUGCUAUUAACAAUUAAAAGGUAGAGUCAUGCUUGUAUGCACUAAAAAACAAAACUUAACCCAUGAAAUUCAAAGCCUAGUAGUUAUGGUGAACCAAGACUCAACUCAAGAACAAAGUGAGUUGAGAAAUGUUAUACCUUUGUUGAUUCCUCUUUGUAUAAGCAAAGGCUAAUCACCCAAGAGAUAGGGUCUUCAUUCUUACUUCUUUGCUCCAUUGAUUUUUUUGGAGGAGGAUGGUGGAAUGGAUUCUCCAAGUUCCCAAGAAAGGGAACCUCAAAGUCUCCACACCAAGGAAAGCAUUGAUGAGGAGAUGAGUGACCUAGGAAGAUUUAGAUGCUAGCAAAACCUUCCUAGGGUGGCCAGCCUCUUAGAGAGAAAAUGGAGCUUAUGUUCUCAUCUUUUCUCCAAAAGAAAACCCUAAGGAUGAAAUGGCUACAAAGUUGCCUUUAUACCACCUCACAAUGUAGUGGCAAACUUGCAAUUAAAGCAAGUUCACUACCCUUCUCUAUAUGGCUAGUCUUAAGGGUUUAUAGGGCUUUCAAGCCCUUUGUAUUUUCAAGUUGGCAUACAACUUCCGUUAUUGGACUUGACGUUCAAGUCUCAAUGGGCCUUGUGGCCCAAAACUAACCCGAGGUCUAAAACGAACUUAUUCGUAUGAUUAAUCAUCAUAUUAAUUAAUCCUUUCCAUAAAUAAUUAAACCAUUUAAUUAUCCUAACUCAUCUCCAUUAUUUCUUCAAUCUCUACCUUACAAGGUGUACGAUCCAUUAGGUUUCUUUUAGUGAGGCAGUGGGUUAUUAGAACUCUUCAUAUCGAUUGUGAAUUGAAACUUACUUUCAAUUCACCCUUUAGUGAUUAUUCACCUUUAGGGCUUCCACAAACCACGAGUGACACCUAGCAGUAUGCCAUGGCUACCCAACCUAAUCAGAAGAGGUGGAGAACCUAUUCAGUUUAGGAUUACAAUGCAAUAUGGUCUUUCUCUAAUACAAUACUCUUGACCACAUUGUUUGGUUUGAUAGUUUAUUCAUGUCUACUAUCCAAUGUGAUUCUCUUACUUAUAUGAUUACCUUGAAUGUGAUUUGGAACGACUUCCUAAAUCUUAUUCAUACUCUGGCCAGAGAUUCUUAAUCAUAUCAUAGAGUAUUCUCCCUCAAAUGGUUUGAAGGUUAGAGAUCUCUUGUUGCGCAUUCACUUGCCUCUAUGGCUAAGUAGCUUAACCCCAAAUAUGCCAUGGAAACCCUCUUACGAAGUGACUCUGACAUAAUCAAAGAUCAAGAACCUAAGCAUAAGACAACUAUGAUGCCUUAGGUCAUAUGACUACUUUGCAUUAUUCUAGCCAUGAGUUCUUAUGCGACAUGAGUACAACAACUCCUUAUUGAUCGCGUUCAGUGAACUCAUUCUUUAUUGAGCACCUACGUACUGGUCUUGGUGUCAGUCACACCAAUGACUCGAGACCAGUCCCUUUCCUUAUAAUCUGGAACGUUUAGGAUUUGUAUACGAAAGAGAAUGGUCUCAUGAAUCUAACUUCUUUAGAUCACAUUCUCCCAAUUACAUAUUCCUUGGACUUAUCGUUUAAGCAUAUAACAUUUAUAUGAGAUAGCUUUGAACAAUAAUAUUUGCCCUUUAUAUUAAACUAGAUUAGUUUAAUAUGUGAAAUCUCUGUAAAGUAUCAUCAUGUGAUUAUUUAAAAAAUUAUGGUAUUACAAUAAAUUUGCAAUUUUAUGGGUUUAUACAUACAUAUAUAUUGUAAUUAAUUAAUUUUUUUUUAAUUUUUCUAAAACUUUUUAUAAUGGGCAUUGGUCAUAGCCCGUGAUGCUAGAUUCUAAUCUACCACGGGUUAGAUCUGUGAUUAUUAUUUAAUUGGUAAUGCGCUUUGACUGUGGUAGAACUUCAAACUUUUCAUCGCAUCCAAAUUACUAACGGGCACAAUGUUCAUGGUAGAUUACAUUUGUUUAUGUGUGGGUGUGUUUGAUUCUCUUACUCUUGUGUAUUGUAGUGAGGCUAUGAAUGAUUAUGCACCUUAAUCUACUUAUUUGACGAAUUAUGAUAAUUUUUUUUUAGCUUGUAGUUAGUUAUAACAUGCAGGUUUAAGAGCGCCGAUGAGCAAAUAUAUGACCCAAAAAAAUUUAUAUAUUCCUUGUGAAGGCUAAUCAUAUAAAAUGACUUGUCAUUCGUUUGUUUGCAUGCAUCAUGGAGGCUAAAUGCAGAAUUGUCAAGGGGGGAUGUGCUUAAGCCCAUAAGGGAAUCACCUAGGGAAGAAACCCAACUUUUUUGAUUGGAGAUCCCAAGAAGGAAGUUCAAUGUGGUAGAAACAAUUGAUGUGAGAAUUACUUGACACACAAAUUAAACCCUCUUUUUGACAAUUGUAGUAUAGAUGUAAGUAGGGUAUCGUUCUAGGCUGGGGAUUAGGAGGGAUUGCUAAUCUAUUCUAAAUUAAUUUAAAAAUAUUAAACAAGACUCAAGGACACAAAACUAGGCUAAAAACUCUAAUAACUCGAAACACACUUAGAAUGACUCAAAAUAAUGAAAACAAUCAAAUUAGACACUAGGAACUGAAAUGGACGGAAAUUGAAUUAAAAGACUAACAACAAUGAAAACUAACUAAAUAAUAUAAUUUAAUAAUGGGGGGUAGUUUGGUUUUAACGAGAAGUAAAUUAAACUUAAAUAAAUUACAGAAUUGACAAAAGCAUGAAUUAAGGUGAAAUGAUAGGUGACAGACUAGCUAGAGGGUUCUUCUCCACACAUGACACAUAUGCAACCUAAAUUGAUUUUCAGUUGUUCUUUCAAUAAAUUGUAAAUCUCAACGCCCCAAAUUAACCGUGAAUUGCACUAAUUAACCCUUUAUUUUUCCACAAGUUAUUGGGUUGGAUGAUUGCAUACGACAAUCCCAAAACAUUCCCUA